rnacentral:rRNA from 1 species
UACAGAGGGUGCAAGCGUUGUUCGGAAUUAUUGGGCGUAAAGCGCGUGUAGGCGGCUUUGCAAGUCGGGUGUGAAAGCCCUCGGCUCAACCGAGGAAGUGCGCCCGAAACUGCAGAGCUUGAGUACCGGAGAGGAUGGCGGAAUUCCCGGUGUAGAGGUGAAAUUCGUAGAUAUCGGGAGGAACACCAGUGGCGAAGGCGGCGAUCUGGGAAGAUACUGACGCUGAGGUGCGAAAGCGUGGGGAGCAAACAGG